rnacentral:lncRNA from 1 species
CUUGCUUGCUUGCUUCAGGGUCUCACUCUGUCACUCAGGAUGGAGUACAAUGGUGCAAACACAGCUCACUGCAACCUCGGCCUCCUGGGCUCAGGUGAUCCUCCUACCUCAGCCUCCCAAGUAGCUGGGAUUACAGGUGUGUGCCACCAACACUUGGCUAAUUUUUUCUAUAUUUUGUAGAGAUGAGGUCUCACUAUGUUGCCCAGCUGGUUUCAGACUCCUGGGCUCAAACAAUCCUUCCUCCUUGGCCUUCCAAAGUGUUAGAUUACAGGUGUGAGCCACCUUGCCCAGCCUUUGAUACACUUCUUGAUUGAAGGAAGAGAGCCAACUUUUAUUGAGUACCUAUUAUGUGCCUGGUGCUUGCAUGCAUGUCAUUACUUUGGAGGCAGUAUUGCAGAGUGCUCACAGGCAAGAACUCCAGUAUCAGAAAGACCUGGACUUAAAUCUCAGUUCUCCCACUUACAGUACUAGCUGUGGAAACUUCACUUGUUACUUAACUUUCCUGAGCCUCAGUUUUCUCAUCUGUAAAGUGGGAAUAAUAAUAAAUCACCUCGUCAGGUUGUUAUGAAGAUUAAAUGAGAUCAUGUGUAUAAAGCACACAGUAAACAUUCAAUAAAGUUAGCUAUUAUUAUUCCAGUUAUUAGCAGCCACAAGAUAUAGGACAUUGUUAUACAGGAAGUUUAAAUCUUGAAAAGGAAAAGUUCUAGAAUGUAUAAGCCUGAAUAUAGCAUCUCCUCAAAUACUGUUUGGAUCAGUGAAAAUGCUAUUGCCCAUGGUGACUCACACCUGUAAUCCCAGCACUUUGGGAGGCCGAGGUGAAAGGAUCACUUGAGGCCAGGAAUUGGAGACAAGUCUGGGCAAUAUAGCAAGACCCUGCCCCUACCAAAAAUUAAAAAAUUAGCCAGGUGCCAUGGUGCACACCCGUAGUCCUAGCUACUUGGGAGGUUGAGGUGGAAGUAUCACUUGAGCCUGGGAGGUCAAGGCUUCAGUGAGCUGUGAUCAUACCACUGCACUCCAGCGUGAGUGACAGAGCAAGACCCUGUCUCUAAGAGAAAACUAGAAAGUGCCAUAGUCUGAGUUGUUGUGGGAAGUCCGGGACUCCGAACGGAGGGACCGGCUGGAGCCGCAGCAGAGGAACAUGAAUUGUGAAGAUUUCAUGGACAUUUAUCAGUUCCCAAAUAAUACUUUUAUAAUUUCUUAUGCCUGCCUUUACUUUAAUCUCUUAAUCCUAUUAUCUUUGUAAGCUGAGGAUGUACAUCACCACAGGACCACUGUGAUAACUGUGUUAACUGUACAAAUUGAUUGUAAAACAUGUGUUUGAACAAAUAUGAAAUCAGUGCACCUUGAAAAAGAACAGAAUAACAGUGAUUUUUAGGGAACAAGGGAAGACAAUCAUAAGGUCUGACUGCCUGCAGUGUCGGGCAAAAAAGAGCCAUAUUUUUCUUCUUGCAAGUAGGAGAGAUAUCACUAAAUUCUUUUCCUAGCAAAGAAUGUUAACAUUAAUACCCUGGGAAAGGAACGCAUUCCUGGGGGGAGGUCUAUAAACGGCUGCUCUGGGAAUGUCUGCCUUAUGCGGUUGAGGAAAGGACUGAGAUAUAUACCCUGGUCUCCUGCAGUACCCUCAGGCUUAUUAGGGUGGGGAAAAACUCCGCCCUGGUAAAUUUGUGGUCGGACUGGUUCUCUGCUCUCGAACCCUGUUUUCUGUUGUUUAAGAUGUUUAUCAAGACAAUACAUGCAUCGCUGAAUAUAGACCCUUAACAGUAGUUCUGCUUUUGCCCUUUGCCUUGGGAUCUUUGUUGGACCCUUAUCAGUAGUUCUGCUUUGCCUUUUGUCCUGUUCCCUCAGAAGCAUGUGAUCUUUGUUCUGCUUUUUGCCCUUUGAAGCAUGUGAUCUUUGUACCUACUCUCUGUUCUUACACCCCUUCCCCUUUUGAAACCCUUAAUAAAAAACUUGCUGGUUUGAGGCUCAGGUGGGCAUCACGGUGAUAUGUGAUAUCACCCCCAGCGGCCCAGCUAUAAAAUUCCUCUCUUUGUACUCUUUCUCUUUAUUUCUCAGCAGUCUGACACUUAUAGAAAAUAGAAAGAACCUACAUUGAUAUAUUGUGGGUGGGUUCCCCCGAUAUCAGUGAACUGCCCUUGGUGCUCGGCUGGAGACUGUAUAUUCCGUGCUUACCAUGUGCUGGGCAUGGUGCUUGGCUGGAGACUGUAUAUUCCAUGCUUACUGUGUGCUGGGCAUGGUGCUCGGCAACAUGGUCCAUGACCUUAUGAAGUUUAAAAUCUUGUUGCGGAGACAAGGCCAACAAACAUAACAUUAAUCAGCAAAUCAAGGCAGGACGCAUUGCUGAACUCUACUUCUGGUAGCAAGUGCUACAUGAGUUAAGAGGGAAAAGUAAUAACUCAGCACCCGUUAUGCUCUAGCUCCUGGAUUGGAAACACCACCUUAUUUAAGUUUUCAUUAAUUCUAUAAGGUAGACUGGGUGUAGUCAUGUAAGGCAUGAAGAAACUCUGACUCAGCGAGGUUCAGUGACUUCCCAAGGACACACAAUUACUAAGUGGCUGAGUCGGAACUUGAGCACAGCCUCCUGGCUCUGAAACCCUGCCAGAAUACAUUCUCCCAAAUCAAAGCAAGUAUCAUCAAUUUUGUUUUAUUUUCUUUCUUUUUGUUGUUGUUGUUUUGUUUUGUUUUGUUUUUUUGAGACAGGGUCUUUCUCUGUUGCCCAGACUGGAGUGCAGUGGUGCAAUCAUAGCUUACUGCAGCUGUGAACUCCUGGGCUUAAGCGAUCCUCCCACCUCAGCCUCCCGAGUACUUGGGACCACAGGUGUGCACCACCACGCCCGGCUAAUUUUUCAAAAUUUUUUCAUAGAGAUGGGGUCUCACUGUAUUGCCCAAGCUGGUCUCAGACUCCUGGCCUUGAGGGAUUCUCCUGCCUCAGUGUCUCAAAGUGCUGGGAUGACAGACAUAAGCCACCAUGCCCAGCCCAUCAAUCUCAUUUUCUACAAGAGGAAGCAGGAGGUCAGCGAGAGAUGAGGUCGGCCGGGCGCCA